GGCCUUGACAUACUAAGAACUUUCCAGAGAUUGGAUUGGUGCCUUCGGGAACUUAGAUACAGGUGCUGCAUGGCUGUCGUCAGCUCGUGUCGUGAGAUGUUGGGUUAAGUCCCGNAACGAGCGCAACCCUUUUCCUUAUUUGCCAGCGGGUCAUGCCGGGAACUUUAAGGAUACUGCCAGUGACAAACUGGAGGAAGGCGGGGACGACGUCAAGUCAUCAUGGCCCUUACGGCCAGGGCUACACACGUGCUACAAUGGUCGGUACAAAGGGUUGCUACCUCGCGAGAGGAUGCUAAUCUCAAAAAGCCGAUCGUAGUCCGGAUCGCAGUCUGCAACUCGACUGCGUGAAGUCGGAAUCGCUAGUAAUCGCGGAUCAGAAUGCCGCGGUGAAUACGUUCCCGGGCCUUGUACACACCGCCCGUCACACCAUGGGAGUUUGUUGCACCAGAAGUAGGUAGUCUAACCGCAAGGAGGACGCUUACCACGGUGUGGCCGAUGACUGGGGUGAAGUCGUAACAAGGUAGGCGUAGAUGA
rnacentral:rRNA from 1 species